rnacentral:rRNA from 1 species
UAGGUGGCGAGCGUUAUCCGGAUUUACUGGGUGUAAAGGGCGUGUAGGCGGGACUGCAAGUCAGAUGUGAAAACUCAGGGCUCAACCCUGAGCCUGCAUUUGAAACUGUAGUUCUUGAGUACUGGAGAGGCAGGCGGAAUUCCCUGUGUAGCGGUGAAAUGCGUAGAUAUAGGGAGGAACACCAGUGGCGAAGGCGGCCUGCUGGACAGCAACUGACGCUGAGGCGCGAAAGCGUGGGGAGCAAA